rnacentral:tRNA from 1 species
UAGAAGAUAGUGUAUGGGAGCACGGAGGGUUUUGAUCUCUCGAGGAUAGGUUCAAGUCCUAUGUUUCUAU